rnacentral:rRNA from 1 species
UACGGAAGGCAGCAGUGGGGAAUAUUGCACAAUGGGCGCAAGCCUGAUGCAGCCAUGCCGCGUGUAUGAAAAAGGCCUUCGGGUUGUAAAGUACUUUCAGUCGUGAGGAAGGUGUUAAGGUUAAUAACCUUAGCAAUUGACGUUAGCGACAGAAGAAGCACCGGCUAACUCCGUGCCAGCAGCCGCGGUAAUACGGAGGGUGCGAGCGUUAAUCGGAAUUACUGGGCGUAAAGGGCACGCAGGCGGUUAAUUAAGUUGGAUGUGAAAUCCCCGGGCUUAACCUGGGAAUGGCAUUCAAGACUGGUUAGCUAGAGUCUUGUAGAGGGGGUGAAUUCCAUGUGUAGCGGUGAAAUGCGUAGAGAUGUGGAGGAAUACCGGUGGCGAAGGCGGCCCCUGGACAAAGACUGACGCUCAUGUGCGAAAGCGUGGGGAGCAAACAGGGAUUAGAUACC